rnacentral:lncRNA from 1 species
AUGUCUAAUCACCCUUUUUGUGAGGAAAUCCCUCAUGACCAACCUAAACCUCUCCUCGUGCAGCUUUACACUAUGUCCUCUUGUCCUGUCGCUGGUUGCCCGGGAGAAGAGGCGGACCCCCACCUGGCUACAACCUCCUUUCAGGUGGUUGUAGAGAGUGGUAAGAUCCCCGCUGAGCCUCCUUUUCUCCAGGCUAAGCAACCCAGCACCCUCAGCUGCUCCUCACAGGACUUGUGCUCCAGACCCUUCAAUGGACCCAAUCCACGGUGUAACUGCUCCGCCAUUAAACGGCACGGCCACGAGGUGUUCCUCGGCCAGGAGAAAACCCCUGGACCCACACCCGUGCAGGGAGCGGGAGGCAGCGCUGGGCGCCGCUGCGGGCCGGGAGCAGCCGCGGCCCGGGCAGCGCUGACUCGCGGCGCGGCCCCGCCGCCAUCCCGCUUCCCCCGCUUCCACCGCUCGCCCCGCUUCCCCCGCUCACCCCUCUUGCCCCGCUUCCCCCGCUCUCCCCGCUUUCCCCGUUCUCCCCGCUCUCCCCACUUCCCCGCUCUCCCCGUUCUCCCCGCUCUCCCUGUUCUCCCCGCUCUCCCUGUUCUCCCCGCUCUCCCCGUUCUCCCCGCUCUCCCCGCUUCCCCGCUCUCCCCGUUCUCCCCGCUCUCCCCCUUCUCCCCGCUCUCCCCACUUCCCCGCUUUCCCCGCUCUCCCCACUUCCCCGUUCUCCCCGCUCUCCCGGCUUUCCCCGCUCUCCCCGCUUCCCCGCUCUUCCCGUUCUCCCCGCUCUCCCCACUUCCCUGCUCUCCCCACUUCCCCGUUCUCCCCGCUCUCCCCGCUUCCCCCGCUUCCCCCGCCACGGGGACGCUGCAGCCGGCGCCGCGCGCUGCCGGGCGCCCCCUGCCGGCCCCCGCGGGAGCGCGCGCAGCCGUUGCCCGGCUCACUGCCCCGCCCCCGCCGGGCGGCCCGGACCAAUCCCGGACCAAUCCCGGACCAAUCCCGGACCAAUCCCGGACCAAUCCCGGCCCACCGCGGCCGCGCGCGCGCCUCCCCGCAGCCCGGGCCGUAACGCCCCGGGCGCCUUUCGCGGCAGCGCCGUAA